rnacentral:rRNA from 1 species
GAUCCUGGCUCAGGAUGAACGCUGGCGGCGUGCUUAACACAUGCAAGUCGAACGAAGCAUUUGCGACAGAUUUCUUCGGGAUGAAGUUGCUUAUGACUGAGCGGGCGACGGGUGAAGGUAACGCGUGGGUAACCUGCCUUGUACUGGGGGAUAGCAGCUGGAAACGGCUGGUAAUACCGCAUAAGCGCACAAUGUUGCAUGACAUGGUGUGAAAAACUCCGGUGGUAUAAGAUGG